rnacentral:rRNA from 1 species
CAGGGCCGGAAAGUUGGUCAAACCCGGUCAUUUAGAGGAAGUAAAAGUCGUAACAAGGUCUCCGUAGGUGAACCUGCGGAGGGAUCAUU